GACGAACGCUGGCGGCGUGCUUAACACAUGCAAGUCGUACGGUAAGGCCCUUUCGGGGGUACACGAGUGGCGCACGGGUGAGUAACACGUGAGUAACCUGCCCACAACUUUGGGAUAACGCUAGGAAACUGGUGCUAAUACUGGAUAUGUGCUCCUGCUGCAUGGUGGGGGUUGGAAAGCUCCGGCGGUUGUGGAUGGACUCGCGGCCUAUCAGCUUGUUGGUGGGGUAGUGGCCUACCAAGGCGGCGACGGGUAGCCGGCCUGAGAGGGUGACCGGCCACAUUGGGACUGAGAGACGGCCCAGACUCCUACGGGAGGCAGCAGUGGGGAAGAUUGCACAAUGGGCGUAAGCCGGAUGCAGCAACGCCGCGUGCGGGAUGACGGCCUUCGGGUUGUAAACCGCUUUCAGCAGGGACGAAGCUUUUUGUGACGGUACCUGCAGAAGAAGCACCGGCUAACUACGUG
rnacentral:rRNA from 1 species